rnacentral:rRNA from 1 species
GAUGAACGCUGGCUACAGGCUUAACACAUGCAAGUCGAGGGGAGACGACGGGGAAGCUUGCUUCCCCGGGCGUCGACCGGCGCACGGGUGAGUAACGCGUAUCCAACCUGCCUCUGACUGAGGGAUAACCCGUCGAAAGUCGGCCUAAUACCUCAUGGCAUCGUCUGCGGGCAUCCAACGACGAUUAAAGAUUUCAUCGGUCAGGGAUGGGGAUGCGUCUGAUUAGCUAGUUGGCGGGGUAACGGCCCACCAAGGCGACGAUCAGUAGGGGUUCUGAGAGGAAGGUCCCCCACAUUGGAACUGAGACACGGUCCAAACUCCUACGGGAGGCAGCAGUGAGGAAUAUUGGUCAAUGGGCGAGAGCCUGAACCAGCCAAGUAGCGUGCAGGAUGACGGCCCUAUGGGUUGUAAACUGCUUUUAUGCGGGGAUAAAGUGAGGGACGUGUCCUUCAUUGCAGGUACCGCAUGAAUAAGGACCGGCUAAUUCCGUG